UUGGAUGAAAUGAUGCCAGGAUGUUACUGGU
rnacentral:piRNA from 1 species